ensembl:lncRNA
UUCUACGUCACAACCACCCACGACGGAAGCAGCGAGAGCCAUGUGACAAGCUAGGGUGACAAUUGACAGGCCCCAGAGCUCCCGUUAACUGAUAGCAACAGCGGGCACGGCUGACGCCCCCCCUGUGGAAGAGACCGAGGGAGUUCGUGUGGGAUCGCUGGAGGUGGGGGUCGGGUUUUACGCAUAGCGUCCUCCACCUCGGCUCCCUUCGCAUCCUAUUUUAAGGCGGUGCGCCCCGAGGACCACUGCGACGAGGCAGCGGAGGACGAGUUCAGCGAGAUCAUCAAGUGUCGAACUGCUGCCGUGUGGCGCUAGGUCCAGGCUCCGGACUUUCGAUGUGAAACCCUCGGUGAACUCUCAGGAUGGAAGCGGGCUCGGCGAGGACACCUCCAUACAGCGGAGUCAACUCAGCGCUGAAAUUACCACAAGACAAGUGCCUUUGUCGGUGGCAUAAAAUGCUAUGCUAAUAAUUAAGCGCCGAUCACAGGUUAUUUAUGCUCACUUGGGUGCUCCUCGCUUUAUAUCAUCGCCCGGAUGGCCGCGCACGCACGCACACACACUCACAAGCGCACACACAAUCCACCCCCACACGUGUGCUGGAGAGAGCAGUCUACUUAAUUGUCCCUCUCUGACGUCUCCCGCUGUAAUAAGUUAAUUUUAAUUAAGAGAAUAUUGAGAAUUGUAAUAAAUUAUUUUAAUGGCC